GAAACGGGCGCUAAUACCGCAUACGUCCUGAGGGAGAAAGUGGGGGAUCUUCGGACCUCACGCUAUCAGAUGAGCCUAGGUCGGAUUAGCUAGUUGGUGGGGUAAAGGCCUACCAAGGCGACGAUCCGUAACUGGUCUGAGAGGAUGAUCAGUCACACUGGAACUGAGACACGGUCCAGACUCCUACGGGCAGGCAGACAGUGGGGCAAUAUUGGGACAAGUGGCGCGAAAAGCCUCGAUCCAACCAUGCCCGCGUGUGUGAAGAAGGUCUUCGCGAUUGUAAAGCACUUAAAGUUGGGAGGAAGGGCAGUAAGUUAAUACCUGGCUGUUGUGACGUUACCAACAGAAUAAGUCACCGGCUUACUUCGUGCCAGCAGCCGCGGUAAUACGAAGGGUGCAAGCGUUAAUCGGAAUUACUGGGCGUAAAGCGCGCGUAGGUGGUUCAGCAAGUUGGAUGUGAAAUCCCCGGGCUCAACCUGGGAACUGCAUCCAAAACUACUGAGCUAGAGUACGGUAGAGGGUGGUGGAAUUUCCUGUGUAGCGGUGAAAUGCGUAGAUAUAGGAAGGAACACCAGUGGCGAAGGCGACCACCUGGACUGAUAC
rnacentral:rRNA from 1 species